UGCUGCCUUGUUUAUCCUCAGUUGGGGUAUAAAUACCACUAGACCAUGUGUCUCUCAUCAGGUAGUCUAAACUGAACAUGUUUUCAAGAAGGUGGUAGAAGAAGAUGCAGUAGCAGCAAGGAGGAACUCAUCUUUUCCAGCUUUCCUGUUCCUCUCUGGAAUACUUGAUCAUCUGGUGUACAACCUCAGAAUAUCUCACAAGGCAGGCCAAGAAUUGCAGAAAGGUUUCAGCUGAGCAACAUCCAUGUUUCCAGCUGGGGUUAAGCAAGGGAUGGCUGACUUACUUAGGAAAGGAAUUUAGCCAGUGGAAAGAGAAGAAUGAAC